UGGAAGUUGGUGUAAAUUAUCCAAAAUAUUAUUUUUCUUUUGAAAGUUUGAAUAUUAUCAUUGGCAAGGAAAUCUGCACUUGUUUUCCUUGAAGGGAUAGCCUCAUUUCCAAUAAUGUGUCUGCCAAGUAUAAACAUGGUGUUUCAUGAAAAAAGGGGUAGUUGAGCUCGCGAUUCAUCACACAACUGCUUUUCCUCAUGACAACCGUGACACUCUGAUGUGCAGCAGAUGCGGUCUUGCUUCCUCCCACCUUUGUCACACAGUAUUAAAGAU
rnacentral:lncRNA from 1 species